rnacentral:rRNA from 1 species
UACGUAGGGUGCAAGCGUUGUCCGGAUUUACUGGGCGUAAAAGAGCGCGCAGGCGGCUGGCCAAGUCCGAUGUGAAAUCUCCCGGCUUAACUGGGAAACUGCAUCGGAAACUGACCGGCUUGAAGGUGGGAGAGGGUAGUGGAAUUCCCGGUGUAGUGGUGAAGUGCGUAGAUAUUCGGAAGAACACCAGUGGCGAAGGCGACA